AAGUUUCGGAUGGAAGUUAAGAACUUAGUGGCGGACGGGUGAGUAACGCGUGGGUAACCGUGCCUCAUACAGGGGGAUAACAGUUAGAAAUGACUGCUAACACCGCAUAAUAUAGUGAAACCGCAUGAGUUUUGCUAUCAAAUAUUUUAUAGGUAUGAGAUGGGCCCGCGUCUGAUUAGCUAGUUGGUGGGGUAAAAGGACCUACCAAGGCGACGAUCAGUAGCCGGCUUGAGAGAGUGACCGGCCACAUGGGACUGAGACACGGCCCAAACUCCUACGGGAGGCAGCAGUGGGGAAUAUUGGACAAUGGGGGAAACCCUGAUCCAGCGAACCGCCGCGUGAGUGAAGAAGUAUUUCGGUAUGUAAAGCUCUAUCAGCAGGGAAGAUAAUGACAGUACCUGACUAAGAAGCCCCCGGCUAACUACGUGCCAGCCGCUGC
rnacentral:rRNA from 1 species